rnacentral:rRNA from 1 species
GUCAGCAGCCGCGGUAACACCGGCGGCCCGAGUGGUGAUCGUGAUUAUUGGGUCUAAAGGGUCCGUAGCCGGUUUGGUCAGUCCUCCGGGAAAUCUGAUAGCUCAACUAUUAGGCUUUCGGGGGAUACUGCCAGACUUGGAACCGGGAGAGGUAAGAGGUACUACAGGGGUAGGAGUGAAAUCUUGUAAUCCCUGUGGGACCACCUGUGGCGAAGGCGUCUUACCAGAACGGGUUCGACGGUGAGGGACGAAAGCUGGGGGCACGAACCGGAUUAGAUACCCGGGUAGUCCCAGCCGUAAACGAUGCUCGCUAGGUGUCAGGCAUGGCGCGACCGUGUCUGGUGCCGCAGGGAAGCCGUGAAGCGAGCCACCUGGGAAGUACGGCCGCAAGGCUGAAACUUAAGGGAAUUGGCGGGGGAGCACAACAACGGGUGGAAGCCUGCGGUUUAAUUGGACUCAACGCCGGACAACUCACCGGGGGCGACAGCAAUAUGUAGGCCAAGCUGAAGACUUUGCCUGAAUCGCUGAGAAGUGGUGCAUGG